rnacentral:rRNA from 1 species
UACGAAGGGGGCUAGCGUUGCUCGGAAUAACUGGGCGUAAAGGGUGCGUAGGCGGGUCUUUAAGUCAGAGGUGAAAUCCUGGAGCUCAACUCCAGAACUGCCUUUGAUACUGAGGAUCUUGAGUACGGGAGAGGUGAGUGGAACUGCGAGUGUAGAGGUGAAAUUCGUAGAUAUUCGCAAGAACACCAGUGGCGAAGGCGGCUCACUGGCCCGUUACUGACGCUGAGGCACGAAAGCGUGGGGAGCAAACAGG